UGCCCAGAUCUAAGGAAUAGCCACUGGAAACGGUGAGUAAUACCUUAUACGCCCUUCGGGGAAAGAUUUAUCGGAUUUGGAUCGGCCCGCGUUAGAUUAGGUAGUUGGUGGGGUAACGGCCUACCAAGCCUACGAUCUAUAGCUGGUUUUAGAGGAUGAUCAGCAACACUGGGACUGAGACACGGCCCAGACUCCUACGGGAGGCAGCAGUGGGGAAUCUUGGACAAUGGGCGCAAGUGAUCCAGCCAUGCCGCGUGAGUGAUGAAGGCCUUAGGGUCGUAAAGCUCUUUCGCCAGGGAUGAUAAUGACAGUACCUGGUAAAGAAACCCCGGCUAACUCCGUGCCAGCAGCCGCGGUAAUACGGAGGGGGUUAGCGUUGUUCGGAAUUACUGGGCGUAAAGCGUACGUAGGCGGAUCAGAAAGUUGGGGGUGAAAUCCCGGGGCUCAACCCCGAACUGCCUCCAAAACUCCUGGUCUAGAGUUCGAGAGAGGUGAGUGGAAUUCCGAGUGUAGAGGUGAAAUUCGUAGAUAUUCGGAGGAACACCAGUGGCGAAGGGGCUCACUGGCUCGAUACUGACGCUGAGGUACGAAAGUGUGGGGAGCAAACAGGAUUAGAUACCCUGGUAGUCCACACCGUAAACGAUGAAUGCCAGUCGUCGGGUAGCAUGCUAUUCGGUGACACACCUAACGGAUUAAGCAUUCCGCCUGGGGAGUA
rnacentral:rRNA from 1 species